GAUGAAGAACGUAGUGAAUUGCGAUAAGUAAUGUGAAUUGCAGAUACUCGUGAAUCAUUGAAUUUUUGAACGCACAUUGCGCCCUUGAGCAUUCUCAGGGGCAUGCCUGUUUGAGCGUCAUUUCCUUCUCAAAAGAUAAUUUAUUAUUUUUUGGUUGUGGGCGAUACUCAGGGUUAGCUUGAAAUUGGAGACUGUUUCAGUCUUUUUUAAUUCAACACUUAGCUUCUUUGGAGACGCUGUUCUCGCUGUGAUGUAUUUAUGGAUUUAUUCGUUUUACUUUACAAGGGAAAUGGUAACGUACCUUAGGCAAAGGGUUGCUUUUAAUAUUCAUCAAGUUUGACCUCAAAUCAGGUAGGAUUACCCGCUGAACUUAAGCAUAUCAAUAAGCGGAGGA
rnacentral:misc_RNA from 1 species